rnacentral:misc_RNA from 1 species
GAUGAAGAACGUAGCGAAAUGCGAUAAGUAAUGCGAAUUGCAGAAUUCCGUGAGUCAUCGAAUCUUUGAACGCACAUUGCGCCCUUUGGCAUUCCGAAGGGCAUGCCUGUUCGAGCGUCAUUUAUCAACCCUCAAGCCCGGCUUGCGGUUGGGUCCCGCCGUGGGCGACCACGGCGGACCCGAAAGGUAAUGGCGGUGCCCGUGGGGCCCUGGACGCAGCGAGCUUCUCGGCACGCGUCCCGGCGGUCCCCGGCGCCGUCUCCACCAAUCCACCACGCAGAUUGACCUCGGAUCAGGUAGGGAUACCCGCUGAACUUAAGCAUAUCAAUAAGCGGAGG